UACGGAGGGGGCUAGCGUUGUUCGGAAUCACUGGGCGUAAAGGGUGCGUAGGCGGAUCUUUAAGUCAGGGGUGAAAUCCUGGAGCUCAACUCCAGAACUGCCUUUGAUACUGAAGAUCUUGAGUUCGGGAGAGGUGAGUGGAACUGCGAGUGUAGAGGUGAAAUUCGUAGAUAUUCGCAAGAACACCAGUGGCGAAGGCGGCUCACUGGCCCGAUACUGACGCUGAGGCACGAAAGCGUGGGGAGCAAACAGG
rnacentral:rRNA from 1 species